GUGAUUCUCCAGGCCAUAUAAUAAACUUGGAACAAUAUGGAGAGGAUUAGAGUUGAUCUUGCACAAGGAUGACAAACACAUUUGUGAAGCAUUCCAUAUUUGA